AGCCGCAGAAAUGAGCCGAGAUGCUGCAUUCUCUCUCUGGCUCGCUUUGAGCUGCCGGUGGGUGAUACCUGAUUAGUGCUUUGUUCAUCUUGUCGUUUCUAUUCAUUGGCGUUCCUCCACCACGCCUAGUCCGUCUGACUGCUACAUGAACUCACAAAUCGCUGUUGCCAGCCAUCUGGCCAUCCUCCUAACGUGCUCCUGAGUUCUGUGGGCCGAGGAGAGCCUCAGCCAUGCUUUCUGAAGUCACAGGAAAACACCAAAUGGCGGAUGAUGCCGGUGCAGCGGAAGGGCCCAGAGGACCCGGGAGCCCAGCAUUAGGAGGCAUCGUGGCUGAGGCCGUGGCCUUGGCCGUGGUCGAGGCCGCGGGGCUUGUAGAGGUAAAGCUGAAGACAAGGAGUGGAUCCCAUCACUAAGCUGGGCCGCCUGGACAUGAAGAUCAAGUCCUUGGAGGAGAUCUACCUGUUCUCCCUGCCCAUUAAGGAGUCUGAGAUUACUGACUUUUUCCUGGGUGCAUCUCUAAAGGAUGAGGUUCUGAAAAUCAUGCCAGUGCGGAAGCAGACUCAGGCUGGCCGGCGGACCAGGUUCAAAGCUUUUGUCACUAUUGGGGACUACAAUGGCCACGUUGGUCUUGGUGUUAAGUGCUCCAAGGAGGUAGCCACUGCCAUCUGAGGGGCCAUUACCCUGGCCAAGCUUUCGAUCGUCCCAGUGCGGAGAGGCUACUGGGGGAACAAGACUGGCAAGCCCCACACUGUGCCAUGCAAGGUGACAGGCCGCUGUGGCUCUGUGCUGGUGUGUCCCAUCCCCGCCCCCAGAGGCACUGGCAUUGUGUCUGCUCCUGUGCCCAAGAAGCUACUGAUGAUGAUGGCCGGUAUAGAUAACCGCUACACUUCAGCCAGGGGCUGCACUGUCACCCUGGGCAACUUUGCCAAGGCCACCUUUGAUACCAUCUCCAUGAUGUACAGCUAUUGACCCCUGACCUCUGGAAAGAGAGACUGUGUUCACCAAGUCUUCUUAUCAGGAAUUCACUGACCACCUUGUGAAAACCCACAUCAGAGUCUCUGUUCAGAGGACCCAGGCUCCAGCUGUGGCCACCACAUAAGGGUUUUUAUACAAGAAAAAUAAAUGAAUUAUGUUUG